CCGUUUAAACAGGGCUUUAGACUUGCUCCAAGUCUCUCUUUCAUUGUCAUAUAUAGCUACGUCAUAUAAUGUACACUAUAGUGGAUUGAUAUGACAAUGAAAGAGAGACUUGGAGCAAGUCUAGGGCAAACUGGGCAA